CCUACGGGAGGCAGCAGUGGGGAAUCUUGGACAAUGGGCGCAAGCCUGAUCCAGCCAUGCCGCGUGAGUGAUGAAGGCCCUAGGGUCGUAAAGCUCUUUCGCCAGGGAUGAUAAUGACAGUACCUGGUAAAGAAACCCCGGCUAACUCCGUGCCAGCAGCCGCGGUAAUACGGAGGGGGUUAGCGUUGUUCGGAAUUACUGGGCGUAAAGCGCGCGUAGGCGGAUUGGAAAGUUGGGGGUGAAAUCCCGGGGCUCAACCCCGGAACUGCCUCCAAAACUCCCAGUCUUGAGUUCGAGAGAGGUGAGUGGAACUCCGAGUGUAGAGGUGAAAUUCGUAGAUAUUCGGAAGAACACCAGUGGCGAAGGCGGCUCACUGGCUCGAUACUGACGCUGAGGUGCGAAAGUGUGGGGAGCAAACAGGAUUAGAUACCCUGGUAGUCCACACCGUAAACGAUGAAUGCCAGUCGUCGGGUAGCAUGCUACUCGGUGACACACCUAACGGAUUAAGCAUUCCGCCUGGGGAGUACGGUCGCAAGAUUAAAACUCAAAGGAAUUGACGG
rnacentral:rRNA from 1 species